rnacentral:tRNA from 1 species
CAUUAAGUGGCUGAAAUAUUUAAGCAUUGGUCUCUUAAACCAAAUUAUAAUAUAUUAAUAAAUACUCUUAAUGA